rnacentral:snRNA from 1 species
AGCUUUGCACAGUGGCAGUAUCGUAACCAAUGAGGUUUAUCCGAGGCGCGAUUAUUGCUAAUUGUAUGUCAGUUCAUUAAGUGAUCAGUGUAUUACUGAAUGUUUUCCUAUGACAACUUUUGUUUCCCUAGG